rnacentral:rRNA from 1 species
GACGAACGCUGGCGGCGUGCUUAACACAUGCAAGUCGAGCGGUAAGGCCCUUUCGGGGGUACACGAGCGGCGAACGGGUGAGUAACACGUGGGUGACCUGCCCUCAGCUCUGGGAUAAGCCUGGGAAACCGGGUCUAAUACUGGAUAUGACUCCAUGACGCAUGUUGUGGGGUGGAAAGCCUUGUGCGGCUGAGGAUGGGCCCGCGGCCUAUCAGCUUGUUGGGGGGUGAUGGCCUACCAAGGCGACGACGGGUAGCCGGCCUGAGAGGGCGGACCGGCCACACUGGGACUGAGACACGGCCCAGACUCCUACGGGAGGCAGCAGUGGGGAAUCUUGCGCAAUGGGCGAAAGCCUGACGCAGCGACGCCGCGUGAGGGAUGACGG